UUUCAAGAAAGUAUGAUGGUGACACUGUGCUGACUGCAGCGCUGCAGGGAGCAGAGCUCACACAGACCCUGCCAUGGUCUGGGUGCUGAAGCAUUUUGGGCUGGCUCCACUUCUCUGCCAGGAAUGGGGAUGGGGAUGCACAGGGCAGUGGCUCCUCCCUUCAGCCUUCAGCCCCAUCUGACCCCGCAGGGAGAGCUGAAAUUCAGUGUCCUGCUGUCCAUUGGGAAGAAACCAUGAGAAAACAGCAGUGCUGCGAGUCAGAAAGGAGUCUGUUUACAUCUUGGUAGAGUGGAUGAAAGCACCCAACCAGGAGAUAGUGGAAAGCCAAGGAGGCCCUCCUGAGACCUGGUGUGGAGUGUCUAACAAGAUGAACCUGGAAUCACCCUCUAUUAACUCAGGGUGGAGUUUCCUUGCCAUAGGGAUUUUUCUAGAGGGCAGAAAGGCACAGAACAAAUGCAGUGUCACCUGAGGUUAAACUGCUCCAGAGCUGCCUUCAGAGUCCUUCCCUCAUUGUGGCAGGGAUGGGCUGCAUGACACCACAGAAUACUUUGGGACCAGAGAGGGAUGGACUCAUCUCACCUGCUCCGUGCUUUCCUAAGAGGUUUUUUGAGUAACAGUUCCUAUUUUUCAUGAUUUAACUAUCAGUCUGAACAUUAGGCCAUUUAUUUCUCUAAUUCCAUUCUAGCCAUACUCUUGUAAAACCUCACACUCCGCAUUACAAAAUGUUAAAUAAACAGACUUUUGUCACACUUCUGUGUGAUGCUAUUAUGGAAGCACAAUAAAGAGAUCAAUGUAUUCCA